GAACUCGUGGUUUCAAGUGAUCCUCCCACCUCCACCUCUCUAAAUGGUGGAAUUACAGGCGUGAGCCACUGCCCCCAGCCACAAAUUUCUUUUCUUCUUCUUUUUUUUUGAGAUGGAGUCUUGCUCUUGUUGCCCAGGUUGGAGUGCAAUGGCAUGGUCUCAGCUCACUACAAUUUCCGCCUCCCAGCUCAGCCUCCCGAGAGGCUAGGAUUACACGUGCCUGCCACCAUGCCUGGCUAAUUUUUGUAUUUUUAGUAGAGACUUGAACCCGGUAGGUGGAGGUUGCAGUGAGCUGAGAUCACGCCAUUGCACUCCAGCCUGGGCGACAGAGCGAGACUCCGUC
rnacentral:lncRNA from 1 species